rnacentral:rRNA from 1 species
UACGUAGGCAGCAAGCGUUGUUCGGAGUUACUGGGCGUAAAGGGUGCGUAGGCGGCUUUUUAAGUUUGGUGUGAAAUCUCCCGGCUCAACUGGGAGGGUCGCGCCGAAUACUGAGAGGCUAGAGUGUGGGAGAGGAAAGUGGAAUUCCUGGUGUAGCGGUGAAAUGCGUAGAUAUCAGGAGGAACACCGGUGGUGUAAACGGCUUUCUGGACCAUAACUGACGCUGAUGCACGAAAGCGUGGGUAGCAAACAGG